UUUGACAAUCAAAAUGAAACAGUUGGUCAGUUUGUAAUAUGGGGAAUAAACAUCACAGUAAAAAAAAAAAAUAGAGUUUCAAAACUUGGAAAGAUCUUUCUGUCCAGUCCGUGGAUGACUAAAUUUCUUCCAUCAGUUUACACAGUAGUAUUCAUUGUGGCACUGCCACUAAAUAUAAUGGCAAUCAUCAUCUUCCUCGUCAAGAUGAAGGUCAGAAAGCCGGCCGUGGUCUAUAUGUUGAACCUGGCAGUUGCUGAUGUAUUGUUUGCUUGUACAUUACCUUUCAAAAUAAUUUAUCAUUUCUCUGGAAACAACUGGAUCUUUGGCUCUGGAAUGUGCAGUUUUGUUACAGAGACCUUUUACUGUAACAUGUACUGCUCCAUUCUGCUCAUUACGGCUAUCAGCGUGGACAGGUUCCUGGGAGUGGUCUUUCCGAUCCAAUCUCUGUCCUGGCGCACUGUGCGUCGUUCCUGGAUGGUCUGCAUUCUAAUCUGGGUGAUAUCCAUAGCUAGUACUGUUCCGUUGUUCACAACCGAGCAACCGAAACACAUUGCCGAAUUGAAUAUCACCACCUGUCACG